ACGUUUAGGUAAUCGCUGCAGUCUUUAGGAUUGUAGAGGAAAGUCCAUGCUCGCACGGUGCUGAGAUGCCCGUAGUGUUCGUGCCUAGCGAAUUCAUAAGCUAGGGCAGUCAAGUUUACUUGGCUGACGGCAGGGAAAAAGCCUAAGUCCUUAUGGAUAUGGCUUGAAUACCUUGAAAGUGCCACAGUGACGGAGUCUUGCGAGAAAUCGUAAGAGUGGAACGAGGUAAACCCCACGAGCGAGAAACCCAAAUUAUGGUAGGGGCACCUUCUUGGAGGAAUUGAACGAAGAGAAGGACAAAAGCAAUUUGCUUUUGUAGAUAGAUGAUUACCACCUGAGUACGAGGCUCAUGCCGUUUGUAGUACGAUGGAACAAAACAUGGCUUAUCGAA
rnacentral:RNase_P_RNA from 1 species